rnacentral:rRNA from 1 species
ACGAACGCUUGCGGCGUGCUUAACACAUGCAAGUCGAACGGAAAGGCCCUGCUUUUGUGGGGUGCUCGAGUGGCGAACGGGUGAGUAACACGUUAGUAACCUGCCCUUGACUUUGGGAUAACUUCAGGAAACUGGGGCUAAUACCGGCUAGGAGCUCCUGCUGCAUGGUGGGGGGUGGAAAGUUUCGGCGGUUGGGGGUGGACUCGCGGCUUAUCAGCUUGUUGGUGGGGAAGUGGCUUACCAAGGCUUUGACGGGUAGCCGGCCUGAGAGGGUGACCGGCCACAUUGGGACUGAGAUACGGCCCAGACUCCUACGGGAGGCAGCAGUGGGGAAUAUUGCACAAUGGGCGGAAGCCUGCUGCAGCAACGCCGCGUGCGGGAUGACGGCCUUCGGGUUGUAAACCGCUUUCGCCUAUGACGAAGCGUGAGUGACGGUAAUGGGUAAAGAAGCACCGGCUAACUACGUG